GACGAACGCUGGCGGCAGGCUUAACACAUGCAAGUCGAGCGGGCAUCUUCGGGUGUCAGCGGCGGACGGGUGAGUAACGCGUGGGAACGUGCCUUCUGGUUCGGAAUAACUCAGGGAAACUUGAGCUAAUACCGGAUACGCCCUUUUGGGGAAAGGUUUACUGCCGGAAGAUCAGCCCGCGUCUGAUUAGCUAGUUGGUGGGGUAACGGCCUACCAAGGCGACGAUCAGUAUCUGGUCUGAGAGGAUGAUCAGCCACACUGGGACGGGGACACGGCCCAGACUCCUACGGGAGGCAGCAUUGGGGAAUAUUGGACAAUGGGGGCAACCCUGAUCCAGCCAUGCCGCGUGAGUGAUGAAGGCCUUAGGGUUGUAAAGCUCUUUUAUCCGGGACGAUAAUGACGGUACCGGAGGAAUAAGCCCCGGCUAACUUCGUGCCAGCAGCCGCCGUAA
rnacentral:rRNA from 1 species